GAUGAAGAACGUAGUGAAAUGCGAUAAGUAAUGUGAAUUGCAGAAUUCAGUGAAUCAUCGAAUCUUUGAACGCACAUUGCGCCCGCCAGUAUUCUGGCGGGCAUGCCUGUUCGAGCGUCAUUACAACCCUCAGGCCCCCGGGCCUGGCGUUGGGGAUCGGCAGAAGCCCCCUGUGGGCACACGCCGUCCCUCAAAUACAGUGGCGGUCCCGCCGCAGCUUCCAUUGCGUAGUAGCUAACACCUCGCAACUGGAGAGCGGCGCGGCCAUGCCGUAAAACACCCCACUUCUGAAUGUUGACCUCGAAUCAGGUAGGAAUACCCGCUGAACUUAAGCAUAUCAAUAAGCGGAGGA
rnacentral:misc_RNA from 1 species